rnacentral:misc_RNA from 1 species
UACCUCAGAUAUCAUUCUUCAUUUCCUAAGAUGACGUAAUGUGGUCAUCCGCUAAUAAGCUGUAAUAUAAGGCUUUCCUGUCGACAACAGAGCUAGUGGAUAGUGGAGAGUGCCCUGAGGUUCAUGGCUUGUACUGUGUGGGACUGAGGAAAGAGUUACAAUAGAGGACUUGAGAACUUUCCAGGAGAAUAAAGCAAUAAUCUAGACUGAUGGUUCUUUGUGAAAAAGCAAACUUAAUAUAAUGGAUAUAAUGGACCACUUACUGAGGGUCAUUUUAUUCUUGCUAUAUUUUUCUAAGAAUGUGCAGUCACUCAGCUUGCAAAGGCUUGGGUCACGCGCGUCGGUAGAUAAGAAUUCUUCUGGAUUGUAUGUUCCCUCUUGUUGGGCAUCCCCACGUGAUUCCCUCCCCCAGGGCAGGGUCCCCUACGAUGUCCAGACCCGUGUGCCGCCUGUGCAGUAUCUAAAUACAUCUGCCACUGACAUAGUAUGGGGGCCUCAAGUGAAUGUUACGUGUACAACUGGUGAAAAGAAAAGUAUAUUUCUGAACUCGUCACACUUAUAUGUUGACGAUGGUAAAGUUAUGCUUGGCUGGAAGAUUGGUAGAAAUUCAGGAGAUACAUAUACAUACUGUGUUAACUCCCUGGCUACUACAGAAGCAAGCGAAAAUGGCCCAACUUAUACUGCCCUCUUUUGCUACACAGACCCGUGCAAGAGCAGAGUCUGUGUAGAAAAGUGCUGCCCUCGCGGGAAAUUACUGGGAGAACACGGUUGCAUAACAAACAAUUUGAAUCUGAGUGACUGGGUGCCUAACUUCCACGACCAUUAUGACGAACCUUUCUAUGUUAACAACAUUAAUGUUGAAGAAGUACAAGUGCCCCUUCAGAUGGAGGAAUUUACUCUUGAGAAAAAUGGUUCCCUCACAGCGUUUGUGAGUGCACCACCCCGAGGUUUUUGCAUAGACCACUCAAGCAUGAAUGGGAUGGUGACAGAAGUGGCUAUAGUGUACGGUGGCGACAUUUCUGAUUACCCUGACUGCUUGUGGAAAACUCAAGUCCUGGACAUCAUUCUGUUGAGUGUUUCGAACAUAUUUUUGGCACUGACUCUUUCGGUAUACUUGUGCGUCCCUCAUAUCCGAAGCAAAGACCACCACUGGCCUCUCAUAUGCAUGCUGUUGUCUCUCCUCGUGACAUUCAUCUUGCAUAUAUGUCUUAGGAAAGUGAGACAUCAACUGGACGCUAUGUGCAGACAUUUUGGUAUGUUGGUUCUCAUGUUCACUCUUGCAACAUUCUUCUGGCUGAACGUGAUGUCUUUCAGCGUCUGGUACAAGUUACGGUAUCCCCGUUUAUCUACCAUGGGCAGAAGAACCUUCGCGUUGUUCAAUGUCUACGCCUGGGGUGUACCGCUGAUCGUGUAUGGCGUAGGCUAUGCGAUGGAUGCCCUGGCUCCCGGCGACUAUAGCCCGAACUUCAAAAAGGAACACUGUUGGUUCGAAGACCACUGUACGUUAACCUCGCCAUCGUCAUGGGGAUUGCCUGGACCCUGGAAUUAUUUUCUGAUGCCAACACAUGUGGACCUGUCCAGGUACUGAUUGACGUUAUCACCGGUCUUCAUGGGCCCAUAAUAUUCGUUGUGACAGUUUGCAAUCGGAACAAGUGGAAGGAGCUGAGAAGCAGAGUAACGACUUCACUAAGAAAAAUCACCCGUGACUCGAAGCUGUA